rnacentral:rRNA from 1 species
AGACCGAUAGCGAACAAGUAGAGUGAUCGAAAGAUGAAAAGCACUUUGGAAAGAGAGUCAAAAAGCACGUGAAAUUGUUGAAAGGGAAGCGCUUGCAGCCAGACGUGCCCGCAGUUGCUCACCCGGGCUCUUGCCCGGGGCAUUCUUCUGUGGGCAGGCCAGCAUCAGUUCGGGCGGUUGGAUAAAGGCCUCUGUCACGUACCACCCCCUCGGGGGCGGCCUUAUAGGGGAGGCGCAACACGACCAGCCCGAACUGAGGACCGCGCAUUAUGCUAGGAUGCUGGCGUAAUGGCUGUAAGCGGCCCGUCUUGAAACACGGACCAAG